rnacentral:rRNA from 1 species
GCUUACAGCCAUGUCACGUUGAGAGCACCGGUUCUCGUCCGAUCACCGAAGUUAUUUAACGUCAAGCCUAGUGAGUACUUAGAUGGGUGAUCACUUGGGAGACCUAGGUGCUGUAAGCC